GGAAGACCACAUGAAGGCAGAGGGAGAACGUGGCCAUCUACAAGCCAAAAAGAGAUUCUUCAGAAGAAACCAACCCUGCCGACAUCUUGACCUUAGACUUCUAGCCUCCAGAAAUGACGGAUUUGAUGGCCAAGGCUCCAACACCAACCUGUGACCUUGAGAAAGGAGGCCACAAGCUGAAGAUGGCAGGGCAGAAGGACAGAAGGAGCCUGAGUCCUUGGUGAUGGCGACUUGCUGUCCCAGCCUCACACUGCCUCCCUCCAGACAUAUCUGUUUAAAUGAAAGAAAAAUAAACUUCUAUCUUGUUUAAGCCUGUGUUAUUUCUGG
rnacentral:lncRNA from 1 species